rnacentral:sRNA from 1 species
UGGACUCCACGGACGUCGCCGGUGACAC